GUAGAUGCUCAUUCCAUCCCUUAUGUUCGCCUUAGGCUUCAUAAACCCUGGGAAUGAUGCAGAGCCGAUUUAGGGUGCCUAUUGCCUACCAGAACGAUGAAAGGUUGCUUGCAGCUGUUUCAUCAUACUCAGGGCAUUACGUUGAGUGAGGCACCGCCCCUGUUGUCCUAGACCUGAUUGCUUUUCUUAUACACUUGCCGGUUCGGCAAGUGUUUUUUU
rnacentral:sRNA from 1 species